rnacentral:tmRNA from 1 species
GGGGGUGAAAAGGACUCGACUUAAAGGUAGAGCAAAAAGGAGCAUGCCGCUUCUGUAAGUCUAGCGUUAAAAGACUUAUAAAAAAUAGAGGCAGAAGUUUAUACUUCAACUCCUGCUUAUGCAGUUUGUUAAGCAGGGCACUUAUACUUUCUUGCCUCAGGAAAGUAUAAGUGCACGGUUAAUGAGGAUAGGAAUAAACCUUUUACCUUGAAGGUUUAUUCCGAAACUUAACAAGGUUGCUCUUUUUCAAAUCCUGCCUUUGGGAGUUGAAAAAGAAAAGAUUAAAACAAAGGCUGAGCAUGGAGAACUUUUUUGUAAUACCUUUAAGGACGCGGGUUCGAUUCCCGCCACCUCCACCA